GUGCUCACGUUGGCAGCACAUAUACUGAAACCGGAACAGUACAGAGAUGAAUAUGGCCUCUGGGCAAAGAUGACAUUCAAGUUCAUGAAAACACACAUGCUACA